rnacentral:snRNA from 1 species
GGACGUGAGGGCAAUCUGGCUGCGACAUCUGUCACCCCAUUGAUUGCCAGGCUCAAUUCGGCCGAUCUGGCUGGCCAGGCAAGUGUCCCCUUCCUCCCUCACUGCUCCAUGUGCGUCCCUCCUGAAGCUCCAUGCUGGGUCAAAGAGAACGACCUUCCCCACUAGAGGAGGAACGGUCUUCCGUCAAGGGUAUACGAGUAGCUGCGCUCCCCUGCUAGAACCUCCAAACAAGCUCUCAAAGUUGCUUUCCUAAGUCGCUAGGAGUGAAUGACAUCGUCCAAGGCGGUCAAACUCAUCUCCUUUAUUCGAGUAGCUGAGAAUCUCAGUUGUUCAUCCUAU